rnacentral:tRNA from 1 species
GGACGAAUGGCCGAGUGGUUGAAGGCGCACGCCUGGAAAGUGUGUAUAGGGUCAAAAGCUCUAUCGAGAGUUCGAAUCUCUCUUCGUCCGCCA